rnacentral:rRNA from 1 species
GAGUUUGAUCGUGGCUCAAGGAUGAACGCUGGCGGCGUGCCUAAUUCAUGCAAGUCGAGCGAACGGACGAGAAGCUUGCUUCUCUGAUGUUAGCGGCGGACGGGUGAGUAACACGUGGAUAACCUACCUAUAAGACUGGGAUAACUUCGGGAAACCGGAGCUAAUACCGGAUAAAUAUUUUGAACCGCAUGGUUCAAAAGUGAAAGACGGUCUUGCUGUCACUUAUAGAUGGAUCCGCGCUGCAUUAGCUAGUUGGUAAGGUAACGGCUUACCAAGGCAACGAUGCAUAGCCGACCUUGAGAGGG